GAGACACGCAUGCGCGCGCCGGUCGACUUCGGCCACGCGCUUCCAAACCUGCGCGGUGGAAGAACUCGAGGGCGGAGCAUGCGCCCCGACGGCUCCCAGGCCUAGGGCUGGAAGUGCGCGCAGGCGCGGCGCGGGCGCGCGGGAAUCCGGACGGUUUUUGCACGUGGGCCCGCGGACAUGGCAGGCCGGGGCUGUGGACGACGGUUGCCGGGCGGCCCGGGAGGGUCAGUCCAAUGAGGAGAGUCAGUGGUCAGUGAUGUAUACUGAUGGGAAUGAAUCCAGUAAAAAGUAGACUGAAGAAGUAACCAGCAUGAGUAAUAUGCGAUCUGUGGAAAAGUCCACGCCAGCUUCAGAAUACCUGACUUAAAUUGAACUUUUGUAAAUGGACUGUUGCAUGGGACUGUUUGAUCCUACUUUCUUGGGGACGCAGCAGUGACUUUUGGGUGAACCAUCUCUUCUUUUGGUAAAUUUAUAAGGAAGGAAAGUAGCAUGCAAGCUAAAUGAACCAUAAGAUGUAUAUUGCUAUUUUUUGUUUUUGUGACACUUGCACAUUCUGAAUAAGUAACAUAUCAAAAAUUCUACAGAAUAUGCUCAUAACCCAUUUUUGAAUACUCUGAAAAGUAUUCAUCUUUAUGCAAAAUUACAGAAUUUUGAGAUAUGUUAAUGUUCCUCCAGGGAUAGGUUAUAAUACUGGAUUUCAGGAUAAGGGAAAACUGUAAAAUCCUUAUACCAGUUUUACUUCUGAUAGCUGUCCUUUUAUAUAUGAUAUAACAUGAACAGCCAAGGUAAAUUUUCUUAGUUGAUAGUUAAAUUUAUCUCCAAAUGCUAUGGACAUUGUACUUUUGUCACUUUACUCAAAUAAACUAUGAGUUUUUUUUGUUUUUU